AAGAUCAUAAUGGAUGCCUAGCAACUAGGUAAACCCAACCUCUUAGAACUAAGCCCCACCCACUGAAGUCCAUUACUCAAGCUACCAUGUUCUGAAAGCAUGACAUCAUUCAAGCCUCAUCACUUAUUACUUGCAGUCGGCACCUUUUAUGGCAAACCAGAGGCUUAAUGGAACACUGUUCACAUACAACCCUCUUGGAUCAACAGCACAAAAGGAGGCAUCAUAUCCCUUGGUGAUACAGUCAUCCUCUUUAAUCUAUCCAAUUGUUCUCUGAGAAAAAGACAGAUCUUUCUAUGAGGAGGGCUUCGCCAUGCAGUUGGAUAGUCACAAUGUAAUAGAUGCUUGGUCUUACUAAAGAAAUCCAGGGUAUGUAACUUGAUUUUGUGUAACUGGGGUGCCAGGAUGGAGCACUGAAAACUAAAAUGCACACCUCAAAAAGUUCCAUCACGAAGAUGACACUUGAAUCAAGAUUUCUGCAGCCACUGUUUUUCCAUAAGGAUCCCCAUGUAAUGUGUUUCUGGUUUCAAUUGGUUGCCAGCCAAAAGGCUCAUUGGAUCCAGGAAUCCUCGUUCUAAGUUUACAUAAUAAAAAUUUAACUUUGUCUUUU